CAUGAAAUGAAAUGGUCCACUACAGGUGAACACAGCCAACAGGUGAACUAAUGAUGUUCAAGCUCAAAACAACUUUAUGAAAAAUCGCCAGAAGACCACGUGGAAGGCAGCAGCAGGACUUGUUUGAACUUCAGGUGUGUGGUCAUUAGCUGAUACCAGCUAACGUGUCCAUUGCUCGUAAAACGGUUAGCUAGCUAAGUGCUAGAAGGACAAAUACAAAAACUCGACAUGGAAGGCCGGCUAUGGAGCUCACAUUUACCGGUAUUUCUCCUGGAGUCACAUGUUGACAGAGAGAUUAGACUCCUGGCUGAGCGACUGACCAGCACUGCUGCAGAUGGGACGACUACACUGGGAGUACAGAAAUUCUGUGAAGCAAAACGGCAGAUGACUCAUCGCAGAUGUUGCUUCGGAGCUUCUUGAGAUUCAGAAGUGGAAACCCAGAGCCCUCCUUUUUGUGCGCUGCCAUCUAAUUCACAUCCUGUCCAUUUGUAAGCAACCAAACAUGCCAUGACGAUUUAUGCAGCUGACACAUGGCAACCAUUAAUCAGGUAUUCGCCUGCGACUGGGAGUGGUGAUAAGGCCAAUGGUUGAGGGAUGAAUGCUGGUAGGGAUGAAAGGACAUUAAAUUUUUUCUC